rnacentral:piRNA from 1 species
GAGGAAGGUGCAGGCUGCCAUACGGUAUC